rnacentral:rRNA from 1 species
CUAUUAUGGAGAGUUUGAUCCUGGCUCAGGACGAACGCUGGCGGCAUGCCUAAUACAUGCAAGUCGAGCGAAUGACGAAGAAGCUUGCUUCUUCUGAUUUAGCGGCGGACGGGUGAGUAACACGUGGGCAACCUGCCCUGUAGAUUGGGAUAACUCCGGGAAACCGGGGCUAAUACCGAAUAAUCCAUUUCCUCUCAUGGGGAGAUGUUAAAAGACGG